GAUGAACGCUGGCGGCGUGCCUAAUACAUGCAAGUCGAGCGAACAGAUGAGGAGCUUGUUCCUCUCACGUUUGCGGCGGACGGGUGAGUCACACGUGGAUACCCUACCUAUCUUACUGGGAUAACUUCGGGACUCCGGAGCUAAUCCCGGAUAAUAUAUUUAUCCGUAUGGUUCAAUAGUGAAAGACGGUUUUGCUGUCACUUCUCGAUGGAUCCGCGCCGCAUUAGCUAGUUGGUAAGGUAACGGCUUACCAAGGCAACGAUGCGUAGCCGACCGGAGAGGGGGAUAGGCCACACUGGAGCGGAGAGACGGACCAGACUCCUAAGGGAGGCAGCAGUAGGGAAUGUGCCGCAAUGGGCGAAAGCCUGACGGAGCAACGCCGCGUGAGUGAUGAAGGUCUUGUGAUCGUAAAACUCUGUUAUUAGGGAAGAACAAAUGUGUAAGGAACUAUGCACGUCGUGACGGUACCUGAUCAGAAAGCAACGGCUAACUACGUG
rnacentral:rRNA from 1 species